AUGGAGGACAUGCUGCCCGACAUCACCUGUAAAUUCAGAAGACAGACCUGCGCUGUGUGCAAGCGGGGAGCAGAAGCAGAAGUGGUAGCGGCGGCGCCGGUGGAGCCAAGAGUGCAGGUCCUCCAUCAUCAGCCCGCCAGCUCGAGGAGCAAGGCGAGCACGGGGCAGUGGCAUGUGGCUGGAGCAAGUCUUCGUCUUCCCCAUGCCCUGGUCGUCUUUCCCACGCCGCCGCCGCCGGAGCUCGAGAUCGGCGAUCCUGCCCUCCCCCACCGCGCGCUUGUUGAGAAUGCAAACGCCUUCGCGUACCGCCCGCCAGGCCUCUUCCCCGUGGCUCUGAACCUAAGCUCAUUGCCCUACGGCCCGCACCCCGAUGCAACCUCACCGCCGAGACAUUUCACCCUUCACACCUCGGUGACCUCGCGCCAUUGCAGCGGGAGGCCAUCCAAGGCCUCGUCGCCUGGCUUGUCCGCCCAGGCCCCGAGCCAGGUGGUCGUCCGCGAUCACCUCUACGCCGCCGUGUUCGCGCUGGUGGCGCGCGCGUGCUUCGGCGACGGUGUCGACGAACGCCAUGUGAGCGCCAGGCAGCGCGUGAUACAGGAGUUCGUCGUCACCGCCGGGGAGCUCAGUGGCAUCCCCCUCGGCUCCAGGCUAGCCAAGCUCGUCCACCGGAGGCGACUGCGCCAUCUCUUCGCCUUCCGUGGCCGCCAAGCCGAGCUGUUCCUCCCUCUCAUCGCAGCACGGCGGAGGUCUCGUGCCCGCCAUGGCGGCGUCCGGCGUCCAUACGUCGACUCACUCAUCGAUGUCCGCGUCCCCAGUGACAACACGGGCAGCAGGGACAUCGAUUGCCGGCGCGCUCUUAGAGACGACGAGAUGUGGAGCCUUGUGUCAGAGUUCCUCGGCGGCGGCGCGGAUACGAUCGUGGCGAUCAUCGAAUGGACACUCGCUCACCUCGUCAUCCAGCCAGAGGUCCAAAGCGAGCUGCGUCGCGAGGUUGACGCCGUGGACGCGGCCUCCGACAAGAGCCUCCGCAAGAUGCCGUACCUGCACGCGGUCGUGCUGGAGAGCCUCCGGAUGCACCCGUCGGUGCCGUUCGUCCCACACCGAGUGCGGGCCGAGGACGCUACGUUGCUGGGCGAAACCACCGUACCGGCCGGCGACUUCAACGUGCGGUUUGUCGUGGGGGACAUCGGGAGAGACAGCAAGGCGUGGACGGAUCCUGACGAGUUCCAACCCGAGCGGUACCUGGCUGGAGGCGAGGCGGAGGGCGUCGGGCCAUCGGCAGGUCCCAAGGAGAUGAAGAUGAUGCCGUUUGGUGCGGGGCAUAGGUUCUGCCCGGGCAUGGGUAUGGCCGUGGUGAACAUCAAGUGCUUCUUGGCCGCGCUCGUGCGCGAGUUCGAGUGGGCGCCGCCGGUGGAGGGCGGCGGCGGGGUCGACAUGACUGACCUCAACGUCUUCUUCAAGGUGAUGAAGAAGCCACUUUCCACCCGUGUCACACGACGCACCCGUUCCGUGUAG
rnacentral:rRNA from 1 species